CCUGACGCAGCGACGCCGCGUGAGGGAAGAAGGCCUUCGGGUUGUAAACCUCUUUUAAGAGGGAAGAAGCCACUCGGGUGAAUAGCCCAGAGGGUGACGGUACCUCUAGAAUAAGCCCCGGCUAACUACGUGCCAGCAGCCGCGGUAAUACGUAGGGGGCGAGCGUUGUCCGGAUUUACUGGGCGUAAAGAGCGUGUAGGCGGCCAGACAGGUCCGUUGUGAAAACUGGAGGCUCAACCUUCAGACGUCGACGGAAACCGUCUGGCUAGAGUCCGGAAGAGGAGAGUGGAAUUCCUGGUGUAGCGGUGAAAUGCGCAGAUAUCAGGAAGAACACCGAUGGCGAAGGCAGCUCUCUGGGACGGUACUGACGCUGAGACGCGAAAGCGUGGGGAGCGAACAGGAUUAGAUACCCUGGUAGUCCACGCCGUAAACGAUGGGUGCUAGGUGUGGGAGGUGUCGACUCCUUCCGUGCCGCAGCUAACGCAUUAAGCACCCCGCCUGGGGAGUACGGCCGCAAGGCUA
rnacentral:rRNA from 1 species